rnacentral:lncRNA from 1 species
CAAAGUCCUAAUGCAUAAUUUGUAUUAUCAACGUGAAUAUAAAAAUCUCAGAUGAUUAGUGCUUUAUCAACGGUAACCAAAAGGUCUGAGAUGAAAUCUGCAAAUUCUUUUAAGAAUUCUGUAUACGGCCCUGGUGGUCUAUACACAGUAGCCAGAGCAAGAGACACAAUAGAUAUCUUUUGCAUAUCUGACAGUGUAACAUUAAGCAGAAGUAUUUCAAAUGAGUUAAACCUGUAUCCUGUUUUCUGGGUAACAUUGAGAAUAUCACUUAUUAUUUGAACUAGUAUGUUUCACAAAUGACAAUAACAGAGUAUGUAAAAUAUUUAAGUUGAACAGUUUGGAAAGUAAACAGGUAACUUACUUCUUAAUCAUUCACUCACAGGAACAACAAACAUGCAGUAGUCUGUAUUCUUGCACAAAAGAAAAAGAAAUCAGUCUUUCCAUGUACUGUCCCUGAUACUUGUUCAGGCAUGUCUUGACUUUUCCAGACUUGUACAAGCAUUGAUAAAGUUAUAGACAUAAAGAUACCUCUGAGGCUGUUGUUGGGCUUUCGUAUUACCUUUCGUAUUAUAUGUUUGAGUACAAAUCGGAUUUACAUCUUUUUUUUUUUUUUGCAGAUAAGGAAAUUCCUGAUCAGGGGAGAGAUUUACCAGGUGGUCCGACAGAAUCUGAUCCACUUCAUGAUAUGUUUCAUUCUGAACCAGAUCAAGUGAAGAAAAUAAAAGUAAAACAAGGAGAAACUGUCAUUCUAAAGAGUGGUGUUAAUGAGAUACAGAGACAUGAUCGGCUACGGUGGAAAUAUGCUGAUUCCAGAGUAUCUGAAUCCACAACCUUAUAUAGUGUUAUUGCUGUAUGCGAUAAAAGGAGCAACAGGCUCUUGGAAAAGGAAGGUCCUGGAGGGAAAUUCAAAGACAUACUACAGCUGGACCAUCAGACUGGAAAUCUCACCAUCAAGAACAUGAGAGUCAAAGACAGUGGGCAAUUUAAAUUAGAGAUCAAGAGCAACACCAAUCCACUUACAAAAACAAUCAAAGUCAAUGUCCGUGCUCCCACAAAAAUGGAAUGGGAUGAUCCAAAUGACACAAUGUUGUCACUGAUACCAGAAGAGGAUCCCAACAACACUUCUACAUAUAGUGUAGAGCCGAGGACAUAGAUGAGGAGUUAUCAUAGUUAUAAAUGGUGGGGAACUGCUACACAAGGUCACAUCACAAUGACAGUAUGUCAGAUUAGAUUAGAUUAGAUUAGAUUCAACUUUAUUGUCACUGCACAUGUAAGGUACAAGGCAACGAAAUGCAGUUACAUCUAACCAGAAGUGACAAUAAGCAGUAAGUACAGAAUAUACAAGGUCUACAAUAUGUACAAUAACUAUACAGAAGUAUAUGGAACAAAUUUACAGUAUUUUAAAUACUAUCAGCAUGAUAUACAGAUAGGUGUACUAUGAACAUACUAUACAGAUGAAAUAUGUGAAGUGUAUGUACACUAUAGGCAGAACUAUGAACAGUAACUCUGUAUAACUCUGUAUAAAUCUCCAAAGGAUUCGUUUAACACAGUUUGAUGUUUUAUUUCUUUAAUUAUUUUUUGUGUACAGUUAUUUUGAAUCAUUUUUGUUAUACAAGAGUCCACCUUAAAUAUUACUCCAAUAAUUAAUUAAGGGGCCAAGCACAAAUAAAUGAUAUACCAUACUAGUAUCUAUCGGAAAACAUGGCUAUUCAUUGAUUGUCAAUUAAAAUAACAAAUCUACUAUUAUUUAGUUACACUCUGAUACAUUAUAAUAAAACUACUCAGGCGCUCUUAUAGUAUGGUGCUAGAUACAGUAAAUCUAAUUUCAAUAAACUGCAACUUUAAAUAUGCUAAUAUCUGAACCAAAAUGUUUUUGGCCAAAACAUUUAUUAAACUCAUAUUGUACAUAAACGGUAUCAGGGAUUGUUUUUAUCUUAUAAAUACAUUUUGGAGUGGCAUACUGUCAUUAAUGUUGACAUUAACUUGUAAUGUGAAUAUGUUGUGAUAUAGUGAGUUUUUAUUAUUCAGUCCAGCGUUUAUUUACAUUAUGUGAUAUUUAAUAUGCUCUUUGUUAAUUCACUGUGAAAACACUUAGAAUUAUGAGAUAUUAAAUAUAUUUUUGUGACUAAUAAAACUUGACUUAUGAAAUGUUGUGUGCUUGCAAUGUCUUAUAUGUUGAUUAAUAUGCAAAAUGUACUUUAAGGUCAGCUGGUCAUUAUCCCCAAUUAAACCCUGUCAAGGUAUUAGCGAAAGAAAAUCUUCCAAAUGUACAAUAACUAUACGAGAAGCAUUCCUCUCAUUCCCAAAUUAAUGUGGAUGACUGUAAUUUAAAGAGGCCUACAUCGAAGAACUAAAUGCAUUUACUCCUCCUCAAGUUGUUCCAAACCAGGGUUGUUUCAAGUGUUUGAAAUAUUCUUCUGCGCUCAGCAUUAUAAAAAGCUGUACAGUGUUUCAUGUACUCAUGUGAUUUUUGUAGCCCUUUUCUGCUCUCAGUUGUACAUUGUCUGCCAUUUUCUCCAUUCCCGAGCAGCUGUCGCGACAAUGUCUCGUAAGCAAUGCAGAGAAUUUGUCGUUGGAUGUAGAAGUGAACAUAAGAGAAAUCAUCUGAGGUAUGUAGUGGAUUUAGUUUGUUUUUUUUUUUCUUUUUAAUUUCUUUUGUUUUUCUUGAUGCUGCACCACUGAAUACACCUAAAUUCAUUCUUUUUUCUACCCAAAUGAUCAAACAUUGAUAGUCAAUAAUCCGUAAACAGCUCUCUUGUUUUUUUUUUCUUUUUCUUUUUGUAAGCAAUUUUCACGCAUUUUCAUUUGUAAGCAAAUCUAGCUGUGUGUCAGUUCAGAAAUAAAUUCUGAGCUGUGACUGUACUUUUCAUCUUUUAUUCACUCAGAUUUGACACAAGUCUACAGCGAUAUGAAAAUCCAUUUUUUUUUUCAUUAUUAUUGCUACUCACACAUGGUUAGUAGACUUUGAAGACUUGUUUAUUGGACUUGCAGUUUUGUUCAGUCAAUCUAUUUCUAGUUUUGAACCUGUACAGCUUUAUUAAACUUAUUAAAAGGAAAUUGUUUUUUUUUUUUUUUUUUUUUUUUUUUUUUUAGUCUAUUUGUUUUCAGUUUUGUUCAGUCAAUCUAUUUCUAGUUUUGAACCUGUACAGUCUUUAUUAACUUAUUAAAGGAAAUGUUUUUUUUUUUUUUUUUUUUUUUAGUCAUGUUUUCAUUAAAGGAAAUUAUGCUGUUAAGAAGUUUGUAUUGUAUUGUGCUGAUCUUGAGAUGGAUCACUCUAUUCUAUUUCUAUUCUAAACACUUGUUUUAUUUAAAAAGAAAAAAGAGCCUUUAACGCUAGCAUUCUCUAUUCUUUCUACUUAUUUUCUUUUUGUUUAUUAUAAAUAAUGACCGUCUAACACAAGCAUAAUCUGUUCUUUUUCUGUUCUAUUUACUUGUUUUAUUUGUAUUUAUUAUAAAAACAACUGUUUUUUAAAACAACUGUAUUAUAAAAACAACAAUUAACUGUGAUCUUGCCUGUUGUUAAUAAACAAAACAUCAUUUUUCAUCUUUUUCUGCUCUCUAGUGGACAGUCUGUAUUAAACGAGGUGUGUUUGAAAUAGUUGUAUAACGUGAAUGACAAGCUGCAGUUUUGGUUUGAGCAUAAUUUCAGCCUCAUUAAGGACAAAAUAGGAAUUAAUUAGUAUUACUAUUUAAUGAUAAAAAUAAAAAAAUGUUACUUUCAAAGUAAUUGACCUAUGCUAUAUAGGUCAUAUCAUAUAAGUAGCUUAUCCAAUACUAGCAAGGAAUUGCUGUAAAGUUCGUAAAUGUUAACUGUAUGUUAACGGUUUUUGUUCAUUUCCCGCUAAAAUUAUAGCUAUUUAAAAAAUAAAAAUAAAAAAAAAGUUUGACGUUGAACUGUGACCUAGUAGUGGCACUUGCACACUUUCUAAUACAUUCAUUAACUGUCUGCUCACACCACCUUUAAUAAAACAUUUUAAUAUUUAGUUCUUCUGACAUACUGGUGCGGGUGUUGUCUGCUGGAUCUGAUCAGAUGGACCCGGUUCUGACCUGUUUCAAAUAUGACAGAUUUUAUGGAAUGCUCGCAUUCGGAAGUUCCAACUUCCUUAUUUUUAGAAAGUCCGAGUUACUUUUCCCGUCACAUGAAUAGUCAAGUAUGAUUUUAGCGUUUCAGUUGUAGAACUGUUACAUAUUAAUCUGAAGUUUAAAGUGAAAUAACUUUAAUACUAAUCGUCGAUGUCAGCUUGAGGUUUAGCUCGUUCUGAAACGACCCCGAAUGUACUUUGAACGCUUUGAGACUCAACGAAACAAUUUAACAACAAUGGACAACUUUAUUCUCUCGUCUUUUACUCCCAUUUACAGAAUUAUUCAAAUAGUUGUUAUCAUUUUAGUCCCGUUACAUUUGGAGGGUGAGUAGAUUUAUGCAGUUUCAAUAUUUUCACUUUCACUUUACAUAUUUCAACGAAAUAUCUGAAAGUUAUUUGAAUAUAGGCCUAAUUUUAUGCUACGGAAGCCCUGAACCGCAUGGUGGAGAAAAAAAAAAGGAACUUAUCUCGUUAUUUCGACAUAUUAAGUCGUUAUUUCGACAUAAUAACUCGUUAUUUCGACUUAUUAAGUCGUUAUUUCGACUUAUUAAGUCGUUAUUUCGACAUAAUAACUCGUUAUUUCGACUUAUUAAGUCGUUAUUUCGACAUAAUAACUCGUUAUUUCGACUUAUUAAGUCGUUAUUUCGACUUAUUAUGUCGUUAUUUCGACUUAUUAAGUCGUUAUUUCGACAUAAUAACUCGUUAUUUCGACUAUAAUCGUUAUUUCUUCGACAUAAUAACUCGUUAUUUCGACUUAUUAAGUCGUUAUUUCGACAUAAUAACUCGUUAUUUCGACUUAUUAAGUCGUUAUUUCGACUUAAGUCGUUAUUUCGACAUAACUCGUUAUUUCGACUUAUUAAGUCGUUAUUUCGACUUAUUAUGUCGUUAUUUCGACUUAUUAUGUCGUUAUUUCGACAUAAUAACUCGUUAUUUCGACUUAAGUCGUUAUUUCGACAUAAGUCUCAUUAUGUUAAGGCUUGUGUCAAGUUCAGUAUGAGCCACUAGAGGGCAGAAUAAGACCGAGAAUCAAAGAACGCAUUGUAGUUAUGUUGACCUUAAGCACUUUUACAAGUUGGUGCUCCAAUUUCUCAGAGGUUUUGUGCUAAUUGCCAGUAUUGCUCUUUCAUCCACCUUUUUAUCUGUUUGAUUUGCUUUAUUUGUUAACUUUAAACAAUCAUAUUAUCGCCUAUUAUUUUUUCUUCAAUAUUUUGCUUCAUGUGCUUGACCUUUAUUGUCCCGAUCAGAAAUUCUGUUUUAAUCAACUUGGCUUGCACUGUGUUAGCCUAUGACUACUACAG